AUUCUCCACCCAGAGGGGAACCCUCUCCUGACUAUGGGACAUGCACUUAGCCCAGAUCAAUUUGAUUCAAACAGGUAAUAGCAGUUGCCCACAGGUAGCAAAAAGCCUUCUGGGUCCUCCCUUUUUAGACUAGGAGGGAUCCCCUGGAUGAACUGAGCUGCUUUUGAAUGUCUGAAGCUGGAGAGAGUAUCCUUUUCUACUUGUAUGGGGACACAGCAAGUAAAUGUUGGUAACGUGGUCACCUGAUUCUAAGAACAGAAUGGAAUUCCCAUCACUUCUCUGAACCCUUCAAAAACUUUCAAGAUCGACAAUUACCUGCUUUGAGACCUAAGGACCAGCCAAACUUGCUUGAGUUUUAUGCAUAAAAUAUCCUUAAGAUUUCAUAUCCCUUUGAUCUCUGUAUUUUGACUUCAUGAAUGUUCUUGAUUUUUUUGAGCAGGUUCUUGAAUUCUUGAUUGUAUCUAAUCUAAGUGCAAAAUGAAACAAUAUAGGUGAUACCUAUUAUGUAAUUAAUUAGCUUAAUGUGGU
rnacentral:lncRNA from 1 species